UGGGGAAUAUUGCACAAUGGGCGCAAGCCUGAUGCAGCGACGCCGCGUGAGGGAUGACGGCCUUCGGGUUGUAAACCUCUUUCGCUAGGGACGAAGCGUAAGUGACGGUACCUGGAGAAGAAGCACCGGCCAACUACGUGCCAGCAGCCGCGGUAAUACGUAGGGUGCGAGCGUUGUCCGGAAUUACUGGGCGUAAAGAGCUCGUAGGCGGUUUGUCGCGUCGUCUGUGAAAUUCUGCAACUCAAUUGCAGGCGUGCAGGCGAUACGGGCAGACUUGAGUACUACAGGGGAGACUGGAAUUCCUGGUGUAGCGGUGAAAUGCGCAGAUAUCAGGAGGAACACCGGUGGCGAAGGCGGGUCUCUGGGUAGUAACUGACGCUGAGGAGCGAAAGCGUGGGGAGCGAACA
rnacentral:rRNA from 1 species